CUCUUUAUCCCAGACCGUACGGCUCACUGGGGCUGAGCGUGGCAGUGACAGGGAUGUGCACAGCUGACUGACUGACUGAGUGACGGGUUUGUUUUCACUUUGGGGAUUACACAGGAUACAGCUGGACACUUGGGGACAUUGAAGGAAGGGUGCACUAAAAAAAGCCAGACGCCAUGCAACAGAAUGACUUUGCCCAGGAUGCAAACCAGCUGGAGGAGAACUGGUUCAUAUUGUGGCUUAAGUGGUUGCUUCAAUGUUGGGAGAUUGAACCUGAGAUAUCCGACACCAAUAACAAGC
rnacentral:lncRNA from 1 species